rnacentral:rRNA from 1 species
CUUGAGUGUGCGCAACGUAGGCGGAAUUCGUGGUGUAGCGGUGAAAUGCUUAGAUAUCACGAAGAACUCCAAUUGCGAAGGCAGCUUACGGGAGCACAACUGACGCUGAAGCUCGAAAGUGCGGGUAUCGAACAGGAUUAGAUACCCUGGUAGUCCGCACGGUAAACGAUGGAUGCCCGCUGUUGACCCACCUGGGCCAGCGGCCAAGCGAAAGCAUUAAGCAUCCCACCUGGGGAGUACGCCGGCAACGGUGAAACUCAAAGGAAUUGACGGGGGCCCGCACAAGCGGAGGAACAUGUGGUUUAAUUCGAUGAUACGCGAGGAACCUUACCCGGGCUUGAAUUGCAGAGGAAUUUAUCAGAGAUGGUAGAGCCCUUCGGGGUCUCUGUGAAGGUGCUGCAUGGUUGUCGUCAGCUCGUGCCGUGAGGUGUCGGCUUAAGUGCCAUAACGAGCGCAACCCCUUUCCUUAGUUGCCAUCAGGUCAUGCUGGGCACUCUGGGGAUACUGCCACCGUAAGGUGUGAGGAAGGUGGGGAUGACGUCAAAUCAGCACGGCCCUUACGUCCGGGGCUACACACGUGUUACAAUGGCCGGUACAGAGAGACGGUUGCUUGCAAAAGUAAUCAAAUCCUUAAAACCGGUCCCAGUUCGGACUGGGGUCUGCAACUCGACCCCACGAAGCUGGAUUCGCUAGUAAUCGCGCAUCAGCCAUGGCGCGGUG